rnacentral:rRNA from 1 species
GAUGAACGCUGGCGGCGUGCCUAAUACAUGCAAGUCGAGCGAAUGGAUUAAGAGCUUGCUCUUAUGAAGUUAGCGGCGGACGGGUGAGUAACACGUGGGUAACCUGCCCAUAAGACUGGGAUAACUCCGGGAAACCGGGGCUAAUACCGGAUAACAUUUUGAACCGCAUGGUUCGAAAGUGAACGGCGGCUUCGGCUGUCCCUUAUGGAUGGACCCGCGUCGCAUUAGCUAGUUGGUGAGGUAACGGCUCACCAAGGCAACGAUGCGUAGCCGACCUGAGAGGGUGAUCGGCCACACUGGGACUGAGACACGGCCCAGACUCCUACGGGAGGCAGCAGUAGGGAAUCUUCCGCAAUGGACGAAAGUCUGACGGAGCAACGCCGCGUGAGUGAUGAAGGCUUUCGGGUCGUAAAACUCUGUUGUUAGGGAAGAGCAAGUGCUAGUUGAAUAAGCUGGCACCUUGACGGUACCUAACCAGAGAGCCACGGCUAACUACGUGCCAGCAGCCGCGGUAA